UAGGAACAAGAGAUCAAAGUAAUAACACAGUCUUGCCAAGCCAUCUAAGAAAGAUGUUAGCCUUCCAGUAUCGGUAUCCAAAUGUGCUUCAAGUCCAGCUUUGCUGAUGCUAGAGGAAGUGACUACAGAGUGUCUGGCUAGGGCAGAAUUGUAUCUGCCUAGCAAAAGUGAGCAAGAAACUGUCUCCAGAACCGCCGUGCUUCAGGAUCUCUUG